rnacentral:rRNA from 1 species
GACGAACGCUGGCGGCAUGCCUAAUACAUGCAAGUCGAGCGAACAGAUGAAGUGCUUGCACUUCUGACGUUAGCGGCGAACGGGCGAGUAACACGUAAGGAAUCUACCUAUAAGCGGGGGAUAACAUUCGGAAACGGGUGCUAAUACCGCAUAAUAUCUUCUUCCGCAUGGAAGAAGAUUGAAAGACGGCUCUGCUGUCACGUAUAGGUGACCUUGCGGUGCAUUAGUUAGUUGGUGGGGUAACGGCCUACCAAGACGAUGAUGCAUAGCCGACCUGAGAGGGUGAUCGGCCACAUUGGGACUGAGACACGGCCCAAACUCCUACGGGAGGCAGCAGUAGGGAAUCUUCCGCAAUGGGCGAAAGCCUGACGGAGCAAUGCCGCGUGAGUGAAGAAGGCCUUCGGGUCGUAAAACUCUGUUAUAAGAGAAGAACAAAUUGUAGAGUAACUGCUACAGUCUUGACGGUAUCUUAUCAGAAAGCCACGGCUAACUACGUGCCAGCCGCCGCGGUAA